rnacentral:rRNA from 1 species
UAGGGAAUCUUCGGCAAUGGACGAAAGUCUGACCGAGCAACGCCGCGUGAGUGAAGAAGGAUUUCGGAUCGUAAAACUCUGUUGUUAGAGAAGAACAAGGACGUUAGUAACUGAACGUCCCCUGACGGUAUCUAACCAGAAAGCCACGGCUAACUACGUGCCAGCAGCCGCGGUAAUACGUAGGUGGCAAGCGUUGUCCGGAUUUAUUGGGCGUAAAGCGAGCGCAGGCGGUUUCUUAAGUCUGAUGUGAAAGCCCCCGGCUCAACCGGGGAGGGUCAGUGGAAACUGGGAGACUUGAGUGCAGAAGAGGAGAGUGGAAUUCCAUGUGUAGCGGUGAAAUGCGUAGAUAUAUGGAGGAACACCAGUGGCGAAGGCGGCUCUCUGGUCUGUAACUGACGCUGAGGCUCGAAAGCGUGGGGAGCAAACAGG